GGCCGCUAAGCCUCAGAAGCUGCGGGCGCCGGCGGCGGAGAGAGGGAGUCCCGGUAGCUGUGCAGCCACCGCCUUCAUGAACAGAGGCAUCCGUGUCGGGGGAAGCUGAACGGUAGAGCGGCUUCUCCUUUUGUUAACGUGUUGGAAAGGUUUUCCAUCAGGAUUUCCACUUGCUCACAGUGAAGAGCCAACAAACAGAGAUGCCAUUUCUGUAAAACGAAAAGAUGGAACUUCACCUUGCUGCAGCAACAGGCUCCAUCCUCCCCAACUUCUUCAAUAUCAGUGUGGGCAGGAAGGAAGCUAACCAACGAGCCCUAAAUCCUAGAGCACAAAGAAGAGAGAUCUAAAACGUAUGGCUCGGUGCAGCAGCUGGUGUUGUGAAUCAGGCCGUUGCCAAAAAGAGAACGGCUACUUCACAACACCAGGGUUGCCCCUUGCCACAGUCAACUUUCUCAGCAAGAAAACUCCUUUCUCCAGGACAGGAAAGCUGGAUGGACCCAUUUUCAUUGUGUAUGCUUUAUAACAAGAAAAUAACAACUGGCUGCUGUUAAUUUA